CAGUUGAAAUUGAUGCAGUCGGAGCUCAAUGUUGAAGAAGUGGUAAACGACAGAAGCUGGAAGGUAUUUAAUGAGCGGUGCCGAAUUCACUACAAGCCUCCGAAGAGUCAAUGAUGAUGUGGGGUAUUUUCCAUCAAGGUGGUCCAUAACUGUGAGAGCAAAACUGGAAAGAGACCUUGGGUGAGCUGAAUUGGGACCCUCCAGAACCAGUAGAACCCAGUCUUGUUUUGUUUUGGACCUACUUAGAUGAAUUCUCAACUUGAAAUGAUUCUCCUGUAAUUAAGAGAAAACAACUCAUCUUUUGUACAAAAUAUGUGAACAAAUGAGUUUUAUAGUAUUAAAACAAUUUUCAAUCGGAAUGCAAAACUGGCAUCUUUCUUGAACUUCCACAGCUUCAGUGAUCCCAGAGGGGAAGAAAGAGUAAAACCUAUCCUGAGCAGGGAGGAGAAGGCUCUCCCUGAGCUGGUGCCUACUAAAAUAUCAGUGAACAUACUCUUUUUGUGGAAAUAAUCUGCUGAAGUCUGAAAGGAAGUAAAAAUUGCAGACUGAUCAACAGAUGUAUUAGAUUCAGCAUUGCUGAAAGUAAGACGUGACCAGCCUUGUUCUGAACUGCUCAGCAUGAGCAGCAGUGGCUCAGAGCUGUGUAUAGGCACAGGUUUGCCAUUGCUCCUGCAAUGCUGACAGGCAGCAUCUGUUGCUUGCUGCCCUUUGGUCUGUGUUUGCAAGUUCUGGAGUUUUCCAUUGUACAGGGGAAGUGGUGUAUAUUAAAACCACGUAACGUUGGAGCUGAAGAUGUGUCUCAUUUGGGAAUGAGACUGCCAGGGACCCUUUUUUGUCCCUCUCUCUGAAUAUUUAAGAGUAGUUCUAAGGGUGAAUUGUGUUUGAGCUGAGGAAACAGCUGUGCAUACUUGAUCCUGCUGAUCCUGGCCGUGGUGUUGUGUUUAGAAAGCUUGAAUGCAGCACCCCUGCAGUAACACAGCAUUUAAAGGCAGAUAAGUAGGAGGAAAGCUGAAUUGUUGCAAUUACACCUGUAUAUUUUACUUUUUAUUUUGUAUUUAUCUCAGAUAGGCUGACAGUGAAGUGACAAGGUCUGCGUGGUUGCCAGCUGAUACGAUCUUAAGAACCACUGAACUUAAACAGAUCCCUAAAAAUACAGGCCCUGUCUUGCAAAUACUUUGGAAUUCAGCAACAGCAAUGAAAUUACUGGAUAUACUCUCACAUCCCUAAAGCUUUGCAUAUAUAGGGAGUGGGAAAUAAAUGAAGCAAUGUACCUGUGUUACUGAGAGCUGGCAAAGAUCUGUGCAGCAGCAUCUGUUUUAUAGUUGCAGUUAAGACUCAAACUGCUUGGAAGCCUUUUAUUUUUAGGCAUCAGGGUCAUUUUAUCUCACCUUUUUUUGAGAAUGAAGUAGAAAUAUAUUUUAAAUCUUUGAGGAUGUAAAUCCUAAUGUUCAAACAUCAUUUUUCCCCCUCUUUUUUUCUUGAAGUACUGCAACUUCUUUAUCCAGAACUUUGCGUUGGAGCACUCAUUCUUGAAGAUUUCUCCUUGUUUUUCUGCAACUCUGAAAGCAGAAAAUGUGUUUAUUCUUCAGUUGUUAAAUUCUUAUAAUUGUUUGUCAUCAAAGUGUAAAUCAAAUACUGCUCAUCACUCUGGGCUGAAUUGGCACUAAAGAAAUUUCAACAGGAGACGAUGAUCAAUUAAUGAGAUGUAUAGAACACUAAGUUUUGGUUUCAAAGCUGGUACUUCAUUAUUUAUUAGACACUCUACAAGGAUAGGUGUCUAAAAUAUUUGUUCUCUCCAGGCCUUGGAUCAACUGCAAGGACAAAUUCUCCUUUUUAGCCAGUUGUACAAUAGAAACUUCUAUGAGUGUGUGUAGACUUGGGUCAAUAGUCUUGAAAUAAUAAUUUUUUAUUUCUGUAUAAACUAGAGACUGUAAUGAGAAUUAAUCAUUGUCUUCCUUUAUCCAUCCAGAUGUUUGCUCAGCUGUUGUGGAAAGCUUCUUCACUUAAGCAGAUGCUGUGAUAAAUUACCUGUGAAAUGGAUGUGAUACACAGUUUUUUUUUUUUUUUUCUUUUUUUUGCAUUAGUUAUGAGGAAAACUAUGUUAAAAAAAUCCCAAAACCCACAACCCCAAAAACUCAGCCCAACACAGAAUUAUUUUCAGUUUGAAUAUAAGGCCAAGCUAGUAGUCCUAUACAAACCUGAGUAUGGAAAACUGCUACCAUGAGAAGACUCCUGAAUCCCCAGCAUCCCUUCUUGGGGUGAUUGCAUACAGAGGGUUGCAGUAAGACAUUGAAUUGCUUUAUACAGUUUGCUCUGAGUGCAGGGGGUGUCUCUUAACAGUAGUCCACAGCAAAUCUGGUGGCUCAGAGGCAGCUUAACGUUGCUGUUGAACUUGAUGGAACAUGAAGGUGAGUAAAUAGAAGUGCAUGCCACGCUUUGGGUGCGGGCUGGAGGACACGGCUCUGCUGGUUCCUGAGAGCCUCAGAGCUGCGUGUGGAGCAGGAUGUUCUGGAAUGUGUGCAAACAGCAUCGGUGUGAGCUGUGUGCCACACUGAACACAGGCCGGUAAAUUCUGUGUCUAGGGACCCCUGAGGAUUCCAGGAUGGUGUUUAGUCAGGGAUUGAACCUUGCCUCAACAUUACCAUUGAGGUAGUUACAAAAUUACUGUUUGCUGUCAUAUUGGGGUCAAAUAGUGGACACUACAAACAGCAGAAUUUCUUCCUUUCUCUGGUUUUAAGUUCUAUUUCUGCAAGUAAAGACAUUUGAGCAUAGCUGAUGGCCGUGUCCAGAGUCCUGUGGAUGCCUUGCCUCUCCCACUAGGGCUUUCCCAUUGCUUGCAGGUGGUGAACAGAGGUGGGCAGAUCCCACAUGCUUGGAAAGUCCUCUCAAGCUUGUGCACCUUUCUUUCUGUGAAAUAGAAAGAUGUGUUGUUCUUUUUCUAGCAUUCAGUGCUGUUGUCUUCUGCAGCCUGUAGGCAUGAAAGACUGAUGAAACAGGUAAUUUCUUUAUAGAAUAUUUUUAACAGUAGAUUUCAGUUGUCUUGAAGCAGACUGAGAGGAAGAGGCUCAGCAUAGGCUGGGCCAUGAUAACUGUGCUGCUGAAGGUCAGGUUUCUGUUGAUCCUUUUUCAUGUACAAUGUCAGAAAUCUUUCAAAAUUGGGAUGGGUAGCAGGAGUGGAAGCCUUUUUUGCAGACCAGCACAUUGAAAAUCAAGGCUGUUCCUGUGAUGAUGAGAGCAGAUCUUCACCUGGUACAUGGAGGGCUGCUUUCCUCUAGAAGCUCUUAAAGACAUUCAGAUCAUGUCAUGUGCAGCCACAAUUACAUGUCACUGUGAAACCAGAAGACUGACCUUACUGACUUGGCUUUCACAAUCAUUUCUACAGAGCUGACUUCAUUCCUGCUUUAAAAAUUACUUGUAAAUACAUAACCCUGGGGUUUGGAUUUGGUGGAGGUUAAUUUUUUUUGCUUUUUUUUGUACUGGUGUUUUUAUCAGCAAUAGCUUGGCACUCUUAAAAUUGCUUAAACAGGACCGGAGGGUAGUGGUCUGCCAAUGGUAAAGAUCUGUUUCUUCUGUGUUGGAAUAGUACAUGGUGCAAGAUGUUACUCAGCUUCAAAGCUGUACAGAAUGCCAGUGGUGGUUUCCCAGCAGAGAUUCUCCAGGAUAACAGCAGCACAGUGUCAUGAGAGGAAGCUGCCAGUUUUGCUGAUGGAGAGUAGACUGACCUGGUACGUGAUACCAGCCACAUCUCAAACAUCACAGGGGGUACACUCACCUUGUUGUGCAAGAGAUGACGUGGAGGCAGCUGUUCUUUUCAAGGCAGUGCUCCAAAUCCUGGUUCAUUACAUCCAAAACUUGAUGUAGAGAAGGGUGGCUGGAGGUGGAGGUUGCCCCAGAUAAUGUUGAUCAAUUGCCUAUGGUUAUCUUUGAUCACAGGUCUGUGAAAUGUCAGCACUUCAAAGUGGUUUCAUGAAAUACUUGUGCAGGAUGAGAGUACUGCAUCCCAGUCUUACAAAUACCACUUUUUGGUAUUUUGGGAGAGCCAUUAGUACUGCCAUGGAAAGGAAACAGUCUGUUUGCCUCUGUAAACUUCAGCAUCAACUUGCUGAUACUUAGGCGUGAUUUUUUUUCCCCUUCUGCAAAACUGUGCAUUCUAGGGAAAAAAAAGUUGCUUUAAAGUAAAAAACCAGCAAACCCAGAAAUAUGGAGUGAAUGAUUUCCAUGCAACAUUAAUAUCUUCAGUUUCACACCUAGAUUCUUUCCAAAAUUAUAAGUGAACCCUCCUAGACUUUGUGCUCAGUGUAUUUGUUGCUAGACAAAAUCAAGAGUUCUCCAGGAAUGUACUACUGCCCUAGGGAUCUUAACAUCCCUUCCCAAGGAAGUUAGCAGGAUCUGUGUCCUGGUGAGUGGACAGGUUUAUAAAAUACCCUGUUUUAGUACUGGUGCUGUGCAGUUGUUGGACACAUUCUCUGAUUUCUGGCCUUAGUAAGGUGAACUGGGUCUUCCAGUUCCUUAACUUAUCUGUCCUGCUGUAUGAAUAAGGGGUGGUGGAACAUGAUCAGCAUUUGAGUGAAUCAGCAAGCUCCUAUGCAAAAGAAGAUUUGAGUUGUCAUCAGCUCCAUGAAUAGGACUUUGAGGAACUCCUCAUCUGGAGAGAAGUUGUUGAAAAUGACAGAAUUCCAGUUUUAUCAGCUGCCACUCCCUUUAUUCCUGAGUAUAGGAAGGAUUUUUCUCUCUGUUCACAAAAAUAUUGUCUCAGGAAAAUGAACUUUCCUCAAAUGCUUUUUGUCUGCUUCCAUAGCACUAUUGUUCAAGUCUAGAAAAUUCUGCAGUAUCUUUUUCAGUAACAUGCUGUAAUACUCAUCAAUACUGUUGAGUGUAGGGCUCCUACAGCCCCAGUUUCUCAAUCUCAGGGGCUUUGUACCAAAUCCCCUGGUUUUGAAGUCAGAUCUGAAGUACUUUUUACAGUGUCUUGCAUCAUUUGUUAUCUGUGAGGAGGAGGUUCAGUAGUAUGGGUAGGACACAGAGAAGUUGCUAUGGCCAUAAACCCACCUCUUCCUAGCAAAUUCCCUAAUACUGAUCCCAGCAGAAAUGCCCAUUGCCUGUGUGCAGGACAUAUUCUCAUUUCAUGUGCUGCCAUGUACCUGCCCCUACAGACUAAAAAGUGUCUGGUCUGUUCCUGCUUCUCUGGUACUUGCUGUGGAACAACAUUCCUCUUUUUUGCUGCUGAGGAGGAUGGCAGGAAUAUUGACAGGGAGUAAUUUUAUCUGUGGUCUUCAAGUGUUAGUUCUCCCUUACCAGGGAGGGCUGCUAGCAGUUAUUAGCCUUCCCCCAGUUGGAUUUGAGCUUCGUGCAUUCACAUUCGUGAGUCUGAUUGUGCCAUGACACUAACUGCAGAAUGAAUACUUCUGACUGUAUGUUCUCAUGUGAUCUGUUUCAACAGCAUACGUUGAAAAUGGGACAGCUUUUGUGUUUUUUGAUUGUACUUUGUCUUCCAGGAAAUUGGCACUAGAGUUAAAAAGCAGAUUUUAUUGCACAUUCAGUUGCUAUUAUGAUUGCCUGAAUGCAGCUCUUGGUUUGAUGGGAAAGGAGCAGAAAUACCUUAUUUUCAGUACUUACCUGAAUCUGGGAUGGAAUUAUUUUCUACUUCUGAUGCUGGUGUUUACCUUGGCAUAUUUUUGGUCAGGCAGAGGGAAGUCAAGUCACUGAAUGUAAAAUGCUGUCUGUUCCUGUUUCCCCACUUAGAAGGAUUUUGAGAGAUUAAAAUUUCAAGUUUAACGGGACCUUCGCUAAGGCAAGUGCUGCAUCAUCCUCUGAUCAGUAAAGGUAUUGGGAAAUACUGGGUGUGUCUUUGAUUUGUUUCUCAAGACCUCAGCCUAGUCAUCUGUAUUUGGGUGGGGAGGCAAGAGAUUUCAGCUGCAGCCCAAACCAACUCUUUAAGAUGUGGGUGACUGGAGGCUGAUGUCUGCUUUUCUUUUGGAUGUGAAGACCAUAAACAUUUCUUUGAGUGCUUUUUACAUUUAUUAGUAAUAUUGCCAGUGCUUUACAUUGCUUUCCCCCCCCCUUUUCCCCUUUUGUCUCCUCCAGUUCAGUAAUGGUAGGCUCCGUGUGUUGCAGGUCACAUGGUUCUAUGACACAUGUGUGUGUGUGUAUAUAUGUGAGAUGCCUGGGGACUCUGCUCAGACUGCGCUGAACUUCCCUCUUCAGAGCUGCUCGCCAUUUCAGAGAAGUCACUUGCCACCAUGAUGACUGGGGGUUUAUCUGAGGCCAAGCCAGCUACUCCAGAAGUUCAGCAGCUUGCUAACCAGGUGAAGCCACAGUUUCAAAGCCAGGCAAACACGAACUGUGCUGUCUUUACAGCCAUAAUAUAUAAGACUCAAGUGGUUGCUGGGACAAUGUACUUUAUUAAGGUUUGUAUAUCUUGUAGGAGGGAGUGUUUUGGAAUGAAAUUAUACAGGUGACUGGCAGAGUGGCUUACAGCUAGCAAGAGAGCAAA